GUUAACUUUCUACCAGUAGGCUUCAUGCCAGGCGAGGUAUCAUUUUUCCCUCCACGGCCAACCUAAAGGUGUAAUGCUGCCCUAAGCUUUCUAUAAUUUCCUGUAGCAAAUUCUCCAGAGAGGUGGCUGUGUACCUGUGCCUGACACAAGGCACAUGCAUUGCAGGUGAGCCAUAGCACAUAGUGUAGAACUGGAAAUCUGGGAGAUAUAUGUAUCUGAAGCUGGGUUUGCCUGGGUGAAGCCUUCACAGCCCUUCAGGAGUUUUGGAGUACCUGGGCCUAGCAUGAGGCUGAAGGUGCCCUACAGAAAAACAGAAGUCUGGCAUUGCUUCCUGUGAGAGCCGAAAGCCUGGAACUGGAGCCAAAGGUCUGGCACAAAAUAUCAUUAUGGAACCUCUGAUUCCAUUACAGCCGUGGAGAGCAGAACGAAGUCAAGAAGCCUGUAAAGAAGGUGGUUCCCGCAGGCAGCGAGCUGUGCACUGACCCCAGGCUUCUGCAGCGACUACGUCUGGAGGAGUUUCUCCACUUGCUGGAAAGAAAACAUAAGGAGAAUUUUAGUGGGCAAAAUAAAGGCAUCUCUGCUCAUGUGAAUGCUCACCCAUGAGCACAACAGAGCAACACAUGUGAACCACAGAUUUUGUUUCUCUACUUUUCUUGCAGUCAUUCAUACUGUUACCUUUUUCAAUGUAUUGAUCUGCUUUUUCUGUAAACGGUGAUCUGCAGUUCAAGGUUCUUCCUUAAGGAAUAAUUCUAAGAAGAUAUUAAUAAAAUUGGAAGAAAUUACCAAGACUCCAACCCAUACAGAUUGCAGUCCCAGAGCCUCUCCACUUGAUGGCUGAUUGUAUCACUGCCAGUCGCCUGCUGCCCUGUAUCCCGAAGAACUGGGACUGAUUUAGGUCAGAGUCUGGUUGUUCGCUUGAGCUUUGCUACACUGAUGUAAGAAACUGCAGCAAAUUGUAUUACCCAUCUGCACGGCCCUGGAACGCCAGCACAGCUUCGGAAGAGGAGCACCUGCAAAGGCCCCAGUCAGGCAAACAGAGACAAGUGCCGCCAUCUCCACGGUCUUGUGGCUGCAGGUGUAUCGUCACGGCACAGAGUGGGAGAGCAGCUUUCUUCCUCAGCGGCAGCGUGGGCACCGAGCUCCACACAGUCCCUGCUCAGCCGAAAGAGCUGCCAGGCUGGAGCCAGCAUAUCCAGGCUGCAUGUCUGCUUCUGCGCUAACACCAGGAAAACGUCUCUCG
ensembl:lncRNA